CAGCCGCCGCGGGAAUACGGAGGGUGCAAGCGUUAAUCGGAAUUACUGGGCGUAAAGCGUGCGUAGGCGGCUUCUUAAGUCGGAUGUGAAAUCCCUGAGCUUAACUUAGGAAUUGCAUUCGAUACUGGGAAGCUAGAGUAUGGGAGAGGAUGGUAGAAUUCCAGGUGUAGCGGUGAAAUGCGUAGAGAUCUGGAGGAAUACCGAUGGCGAAGGCAGCCAUCUGGCCUAAUACUGACGCUGAGGUACGAAAGCAUGGGGAGCAAACAGGAUUAGAGACCCGCGUAGUCCCUGUCUCUUAUAC
rnacentral:rRNA from 1 species